GCCGAAGUGGCGGAAUUGGUAGACGCGCACGUUUGAGGGGCGUGUGGCGCAAGCCAUGCCGGUUCAAAUCCGGCCUUCGGCACCA
rnacentral:tRNA from 1 species